rnacentral:rRNA from 1 species
GACGAACGCUGGCGGCGUGCUUAACACAUGCAAGUCGAACGGAAAGACCCUGCGCUUGCUGGUUUCUCGAUUGCCGAACGCGUGAGUAUCACGUGAGUAUCCUCCCCCUGUCUGUGUGAGAUCAUCUGGAGACUCCGGCGAUUACAGCGGAUAAGAUAUUGCUCCGUGUUGGUGGAUGGAGAGUGUCGGCGGUUGUGGAUGGUAUGGCUGCUUAUCAGCUUCUUGGUGGGGUAGGUGCUUUCGAAGGCUUUGACGGGUAGCCGGCCUGAGAGGGUGACCGGCCACAUGGGGACUGAGAGACGGACCAGAAGGCUACGGGAGGCAGCGGUGGGGAAUAUUGCGGAAUGGGCGGAAGCCUGAUGCAGAAACGCCGCGUGCGGAAUGACGGGCUACGAGUUAUAAACCAAUUUCGAAUGUGACGAAGCGUUAGUGACGGUAAUGGGUAAAGAAGCAACGGCUAACUACGUG